rnacentral:rRNA from 1 species
GCGUUGUUCGGAGUUACUGGGCGUAAAGGGUGUGUAGGCGGCCUUCUAAGUUUGGUGUGAAAUCUCCCGGCUCAACCGGGAGGGUGCGCCGAAGACUGGGGGGCUAGAGUAUGGGAUGGGAGAGUAGAAUUUCCGGUGUAGCGGUGAAAUGCGUAGAUAUCGGAAGGAAUACCUGUGGUGUAGACGGCUCUCUGGACCAUAACUGACGCUGAGACACGAAAGCGUG